CUUCAAUUUGUUGUGGGCUGACAAAAUGGAUAUGAGCAUCAAUCGCGCCUGUUGUUACGAUCUUUCCUUCACAUGCGAUCACUUCCGUCGAGGCACCAACCACCAUAUUUUCAGUAACACCUUCCAUCACAUCCGGAUUUCCGCCUUUUCCAAUCGCUACAAUUCUUCCAUCCUUCACACCAAUAUCCGCUUUUACUAUGCCUGUAUAAUCUAAAAUUAAGGCAUUGGUCAAAAUUAAAUCAAGAACAUUUUCCUCUCUUGUUCUUGUACUGCUUUGACCCAUACCAUCACG
rnacentral:sRNA from 1 species